GCCCAUAAGUACACCGCCCGAUGGUAGGAACAACACCUAAUCCACCCCUCAGCGUUGCCGCUUGAGCGUUCUCUUUAAAUUCCACUAAUGAGUCCACUGCCCGGUGGUGGGUUGUACCGCCCGACGAUGGCUGAGAUUCCAUCUUCACCCCUUUGCGAUGCCCUUUAAGCACGUGGUAGUAUAAUCAUAGAAGGUCUCACCUCCCGGCGGUGCUAUCACCGCCCAGCGGUGGUUGCGGUUCAACUCUACUUCAUUCUUCCACCUUCUUCUGCAUCCAACACUUCUCUUCCUUCAAUUCAUUCAUCAAACUCCUGAUAAAUCCUGUCAAAACAAGGGAAACCAAGCAUAAAACCCAGAAAACCCACUUUGACUCUCUUUCUCUCUAACUUAAGCAUUUUGCAUUCUUUCAAGCUAAUUCUAAGUCAUAAAGGGUAUGUUUUGAUUAAAUUUUAAGUAUGAAAAUAACGGUUUUUAGACCGUUAUCAAUGCUUUCAUCAUUGCCAUCAGAAGCGACAUAUAACCUAAAAACUCAAACACACAAAGAAAAAUCCAAUAAAAACCACACAAAUAAUAAAUUAAAAAGAAAAAAAAAAAUCAGAAACUGGGUUGCCUCCCAGCAAGCGCUUCUUUAACGUCACUAGCUUGACCCACAACCUAAUCUAGAGUUUUUAUGAUUGCGUUCUUCCCUCCUUCAUGACACCAACAAAA
rnacentral:lncRNA from 1 species